GUUGUAUGGUUAAGUGACGAAGCGUAUACGGUGGAUGCCUUGGCAGUUAGAGGCGAUGAAGGACGUGUAAGUCUGCGAAAAGCUGUGGUGAGCCGACAAAAUGCAUUUGAGCCACAGAUGUCCGAAUGGGGAAACCCACCUAUUUAUAGGUAUCGUUAACUGAAUACAUAGGUUAACGAGGCAAACGAGGGGAACUGAAACAUCUAAGUACCCUUAGGAAAAGAAAUCAACCGAGAUUCCCCUAGUAGCGGCGAGCGAACGGGGAGCAGCCCUUAAGCUGUUUAGAAUUUAGUGGAAUCCUUUGGGAAGAGGAGCGAUACAAGGUGAUAGCCCUGUACACGACGGAUUCUUUACAGUGAAAUCGAGUAGGUCGGGACACGUGUUAUCUUGACUGAAUAUGGGGGGACCAUCCUCCAAGGCUAAAUACUCCUAACUGACCGAUAGUGAACCAGUACCGUGAGGGAAAGGCGAAAAGAACCCCUGUGAGGGGAGUGAAAUAGAACCUGAAACCGUAUACGUACAAGCAGUGCGAGCCACUUCGUGUGGUGACUGCGUACCUUUUGUAUAAUGGGUCAGCGACUUAUAUUUAGUAGCGAGGUUAAGUGAAUAACGGAGCCGUAGCGAAAGCGAGUGUUAACUGCG
rnacentral:rRNA from 1 species